rnacentral:rRNA from 1 species
CGCAAUGGGCGAAAGCCUGACGGAGCGACGCCGCGUGCAGGAUGAAGUGCUUCGGUAUGUAAACUGCUUUUAUGAGCGAGGAAGUCUAUUGACCAGCUCAUGAAUAAGGGGUUGCUAAACUCGUGCCAGCAGCAGCGGUAAUACGAGUGCCCCGAGCGUUAUCCGGAAUCACUGGGCGUAAAGGGUGUGUAGGCGGCUUUGUUAGUCUCCUGUUAAAUUCUUCGGCUUAACCGGGGGAGUGCGGGGGAAACGGCAAAGCUAGAGGAUGCGAGAGGUCUGUGGAACUCUAGGUGUAGGGGUGAAAUCCGUUGAUAUCUAGGGGAACACCAAAAGCGAAGGCAGCAGACUGGCGCACUCCUGACGCUCCAACACGAAAGCGU